CGCCGGCUCGGAACUCGUGCGGAGCGCCGCGAGCGCGGCGGAGGCAGAGGCGCGCUGACUGCCACCUCCAGCCCGUGCCGGAGGGACAGCACGCGCUGCGCAACGGAGACCGUUCUCCUUGGCCGCCGCUCACGGCUCGCGGCGACCACCGCCGUUGAAGCUGCAGGCGGGCAGCCGUGCGUCUCCCGGGACAGCCAGCCCCGGCGGCUGCUCCUCCCGGAUGCCAGGGCCAGGGCGCCGGGCGGCCGCCAGCAGGAGAAUGAAGAGCUCGGUGGGAGGAAGGAGAGAAAAGCUCCUGGGGGCGCCGAAAGCUCAGCCCAGCCGCGGUUAACACUGUGCCUGCACAAUCAUCUUCAUGGAAAUAGAUACUACUGUGUCAUGCUGGGGUUUAAAAGAAUGCUUUGUUACUUCUUGAUGCCUAUAGGAUAAAGAAUCAACUCUUCAGCCUGGAGUAAGGAACAUUUUUACAGUCUUCGCCAGUGUGCCUCUUGAUUGUCAUUUGUAUCUUCUCAACUCAGCAAUAUACCUAUGCUUCACCACAGUGGACUUGUUAAACUUAUUCAAACAUGCCUCAUGUUUUAUGGCCUAUGUGAAAACGUUAAUUCUUUUUUAUGUCAUGCUCUUUUCCAUGCCAUCUCUGUCUGACACACAUGAAUCAGCCUUCAGUAGCCAAAGCCAGCUUCUCUGCUUCUCUAUCAAUGCAGCCUUCCUCAGGUACCUAGAAAGCAUUAGUCAAAUGAGAUGAUACAUGGUAAAUACUUAGCACAAUGCACAGCACCCAAUAAUCAUUAAAUAAAUGGUAAUUUUCUUUAACAGUAGUAGUUUUCUUUUCUUUGCUCCCAUGAACUCUGCUCAUAUCUUUGUCAUACCGCAUUAAAUAAUAUAACAAUCUACUUAAACAUACUCACCUCAUCUUAAGACUGUAACUUAUCAGAAGGCAAGAUCUGCAUCUUAAGUAUCUUUCUGUUGGGUUUAUUUCCCCCACACAACAAUCGAUACUUACUCUUUUCUGAUUAAAAGACAUCAAAACAAUGUUUAAAUCAGGGAAAAAUUAGUUUAUUGGUAUAAAAUCUAAUGACCAGUACCCCUCCCCUCAAUUUCCUUUCAUAAGAGUUGGCUAAAACAUGUGCUAAGCAUGCAAUUGUAUAAACCUUGCUAAAUCAAUUCUUUGAAAUUCUGAGGCAAAUAAUAUUAUCACAGUCUAAUGUUUACAUCCAAGUAGAGGAAAACAAAAGUCUUUAGUUUUGGAAAUGUGUCAUCCUCCCUCUCUCCCUUCCCUGAGUUCCUUAUUCUUAUGUAUCGAUUUGAAUUAGGUUGCAUUUCAAUUUCAGCUUUUAAAUAACAUUUAUUGAAUGUUUAAUAUGUGCCAAAAACUAAGCUAAGCACUUUGCAAGCAUUAUCCAUUUAGUCUUGGUCAGAGUCCUGUGAGGUAGGUCGCCCAAACCUUAUUUUACAAAGGAGGGAAUUGAACUUUCAAAGGCUGUGUGAGUUUCCCAGGUCUAUGUAACACUCAGUGACUCAAGUGAACCUAAAAUUAGUGUCUCUAAGAUCCCAAGCUCAAACUCUGAACCACUGUGCUAUAUUAUUUCCCUGUGUGUAGAGGUAGGUCUAAGGCAAUGGUACUCCACAAAGAUGAGGGGGUGAUUUUACCUGCCCCCAUUUAAAGGGUCAUUUGGCAAUGUUGGAGACAUUUUGGUUCUCACAAAUGGGGGAGGGAUUCACUACUGACAUCUAAUGGAUAGAAGCCAGGGAUGCUGGCUCAGGAGAAAGCCCAAGACAGCCCUCCACCAAAAUGUCAAUAGUGCUGAAGCUGAGAAAUCCUGGUCUAAGGUAAAGGUGGAGAAACCUGUAAAAUUAUGAAUAGCCACUUAAGAGAUUUCCAAGUAGAUAAAUGAGUUGGAGAAAGAGGUGUUGAGGAAGGGGUUACAUACAACCAACCAUUGUAAUACAUGGUAUUAUAUUUGUUUGUUUGUUUUUUGUGGAAGACAACCAUUACCAUAGAAAUACUGAUGGUGGAGUGCUUACGCCUCUUAUAGAACUUAAAACAAGAAAACAUCAUCUUAAAUUGUUGAGGGAAGAAGUUACAGUAGACACCUAUGUAAAGAUGAUACUUAAGCACUCAUGUAAACGGAUUCUUCUUUUCACGUCUACUUUAAAACAUCAGGUUUUCAAGUCUUGAUUAUUUUAGCAAAUGUUUGUCAGCUAAAUCUUUCAAAUUUGGUGGAAAAUUUUUUCCUUACCUGAAUAAAUACUGAAAUUGCAAGUGGCUCAGUAGUUAGUCUAGUGCAUUUUUCAGGCAUGAUGUUUUUAUUCUUCUGAGGUAAGGGCGAUUGAUUGGUGUUGUCCUGAUUCCAAGCUUCAUGCCUGGAAGGUCUUUAGAUGGGCAGAGAAAUGUGAAAACCCACUCUACUGAAACAUUUGGUCGAUUCUCAAGUCCUCAUUAAUAAAGUUCUUGAAGGGUCUUUGGAUCCCAUGGAUUAAGGUAUUUUUGGCAAGAGGAAUUUAGUUUUAAAGCCACUGAGGUACCCACAGAUUCACUCUAAACUCUCCACUGACAGUAC
ensembl:lincRNA